GUUGUUCGGAAUUACUGGGCGGAAAGGGCUCGUAGGCGGCCAACUAAGUCGGACGUGAAAUCCCUCAGCUUAACUGGGGAACUGCGUCGGAUACUGGAUGGCUUGAAUUCGGGAGAGGGAUGCAGAAUUCCAGGUGUAGCGGUGAAAUGCGUAGAUAUCUGGAGGAAUACCGGUGGCGAAGGCGGCAUCCUGGACCGACAUUGACGCUGAACGGCGAAAGCUAGGGGAGCAAACGGG
rnacentral:rRNA from 1 species